rnacentral:lncRNA from 1 species
CGGAUAAUAAAAUAAGGAACCAAAAAAUACCCAAAAAAAUCGGUUCUUAUUUGGUUUCAGUUCCGGUUCGGGUAAUUCGGGUAAAAUAUCAGUUAUUUAGUGUAAAAUAUUAAAAAAUUAGGAUGAUUUAGAUAAAAAAUGUAGAUAUUUCAUUUACUUUGGAUAUUUCGGAUAAUACUAUCCGAAUAGUUUCGGAUUUCAGAUAUUUACGGGUAGUUCGGAUACUUUAUUAUAAUUUAGUUAUUUUCAAAUAUUUUUUGGUACUUUUAAUAGAUUUUUAAAUUAUAAAUAUAUAUUUAGCUAUGUUAUAUGUAUAUAUAAUUAAUAGUGUUAU